CACACACACACACACACACACACAAAUGAAAACAAACAUCCAUGCAAACAUGUACAGAAUCUCACACAGUACAAAUGCAUGAUGCAAGAAUUUCUGCAAGGAGGAAGUCAUGAAGAUAUCUGCAUCAGUGACUAAAGUCCAGGCUAUUUUGCCUCCUGAACCUAUAACCAGAGAGGAUUUCCUACAAUACUCCUGUCACUUCACACUGG